ACACUCCUGCGGGAGGCAGCAGUGGGGAAUAUUGCACAAUGGGCGCAAGCCUGAUGCAGCCAUGCCGCGUGUAUGAAGAAGGCCUUCGGGUUGUAAAGUACUUUCAGCGGGGAGGAAGGCAAUACGGUUAAUAACCGUGUUGAUUGACGUUACCCGCAGAAGAAGCACCGGCUAACUCCGUGCCAGCAGCCGCGGUAAUACGGAGGGUGCAAGCGUUAAUCGGAAUUACUGGGCGUAAAGCGCACGCAGGCGGUCUGUCAAGUCGGAUGUGAAAUCCCCGGGCUCAACCUGGGAACUGCAUUCGAAACUGGCAGGCUUGAGUCUUGUAGAGGGGGGUAGAAUUCCAGGUGUAGCGGUGAAAUGCGUAGAGAUCUGGAGGAAUACCGGUGGCGAAGGCGGCCCCCUGGACAAAGACUGACGCUCAGGUGCGAAAGCGUGGGGAGCAAACAGGAUUAGAUACCCGAGUAGUCCCA
rnacentral:rRNA from 1 species